UACGAAGGGGGCUAGCGUUGCUCGGAAUUACUGGGCGUAAAGGGCGCGUAGGCGGAUAUCUAAGUCGGGGGUGAAAGCCCAGGGCUCAACCCUGGAACUGCCUUCGAUACUGGAUAUCUUGAGUUCGGGAGAGGUGAGUGGAAUGCCGAGUGUAGAGGUGAAAUUCGUAGAUAUUCGGCGGAACACCAGUGGCGAAGGCGACUCACUGGCCCGAUACUGACGCUGAGGCGCGAAAGCGUGGGGAGCAAACAGG
rnacentral:rRNA from 1 species